GCCAAAAGAGGUGGAAAUGCGUCAUUGAAUCCAGCUCACCCAGGGUUGGGAAUGAAGAAGUGAAGACAGUGCUACCCUGAUCAACCGAGGGAAGAAGGAGGGUUCAGGAGGCCAAACCCUGCCCGUGGAGUUCCCCGGAACUCAUGAGGAAGAGCAGGCUAGAGAUCCCAUCAGAUCUGGAGCUGCUGGCCUACGCCACAGCCACAGCAACACCAGAUCCAAGCCGGUUCUGCGACCUACACCACAGCUCACAGCAACGCUGGAUCCUUAACCCACUGAGCGAGGCCAGGGACCGACCCCUCGUCCUCAGGGAAUGCUAGUCAGGUUCAUUACCGCUGAGCCAUGACGGGACCUCCUGCAUUUAGAUUUUUAGCGAACAUCUACUUCGCGCCUCACCUCAAGUCAGUUGCUGGGGAGAAGCAGAAAGGAGGCGUGGGCUGGGCUAGUGCGCAGGUGGACUCAGCCCACCCCUAGUGAGGCUCCCUGCCUGGACUUCUGGGAGAGGCUUGAAUGAGCCUUGAAGGAGAUACCUGACUAUCAAAGGAGGGGGCGAAACAGCAUCCCGAGCCAAGGAAAUGACAUUGUGAAAGCCUCCAAGAUGUUUGGGGUUCAUGACUCCUUGGCACAGUUAAGGCCUGGGGUCCACGGGACAGUCGGGGGAGAGAUGAAGUGAUGAGGCCGAAACCAGAGCAGCGGCUGACUGCACCUCAGGAGUCUGCGGGGGAAGGACUUUGUGGACGUGGCGAUUAUCUCAACUGUUUGUGGGGCAAUCACAGGAGCAUCUGGGGAGAAAACUGGCCCCAGAAGGAAAAGGGCUGCAGGCGGGAAGACCAGAAAGGAUGCUGUUCAGAUGGCCCAGGUGAAAGCCAGUGAGGGCCUAGACUGAGCAGACGUGGUGGGAUGGAGGGGCCCCAGGAGACAGCUCUGGAUUUGGCAGUUGCGGGGGAGGAGCUAGAACAUUGUGCUUUUACAAGAGUGGGUUAUUUAUCCAAAAACAAACAAAACAAAACAACAGCAACAACAGGGCAUUGCCGCAAGCUGUGGUGUAGGCUGCAGAUGUGGCUCGGAUCCAGCGUGGCUGUGGCUGUGCCGUAAGCCAGCAGCUGCAGCUCCGAUUCGAGCCCAGGAACUUCCAUAUGCCUCAGGUGGGGCCCUAGAAAAGGACAGAAAAAAAAAAAAAA
rnacentral:lncRNA from 1 species